CUUCCUUACUGCCGAUUCGACCUGCAAAUUAACUUUUUGGGAAUCCUGCACCAGCACUCCCAAGUCCCUUUACACAUCCGAUUUCUGGAUUCUCUCCCCAUUCAGAAAAUAGUGUGUGCCUUUAUUCCAAUUACCCAUAUACA